AUUGAACGCUGGCGGCAGGCCUAACAAAUGCAAGUCGAACGAGUGGCGGACGGGUGAGUAAUGUCCGGGAAACUGUCUGAUGGAGGGGGAUAACUACUGGAUACGGUAGCUAAUACCGCAUACCAUCAGAUGUGCCCAGAUGGGAUUAGCUAGUUGGUGGGGGAACGGCUCACCAAGGCGACGAUCCCUAGCCGGUCUGAGAGGAUGACCAGCCACACUGGAACUGGGGCACGGUCCAGACUCCUACGUGAGGCAUCAGUGGGGAAUAUUGCCCCAUGGGCGCAAGCCUGAUACAGCCAUGCCGCGUGUAUGAAGAAGGCCUUCGGGUUGUAAAGUACUUUCAGCGGGGAGGCGUUACCCGCAGAAGAAGCACCGGCUAACUCCGUGCCAGCAGCCGCGGUAAUAC
rnacentral:rRNA from 1 species